AUGCGCUCCUCACAAACACCCUCCUCCAGCAUCAGUGUGUUGAACAAGGAGACUGCACGUGCCUUACACGUCCAAGACAUUGCCUGUGUGAACUCCUGUGAGUUGGUAGUCCACAAAGCCAAGGCCCUCGUCCUUCGGGGACUACUCUACCCAGAAGACCCUGCGCCUCACGCCUGCAAAGUUCGACCAAUAAAAGAGCGUUUCCGUGCGAUCGAUGGGCGUCAAGGCGGAACUUCCGUCGCACACCUGGCCACAGUCAUCUUGGCCUUUCUAGUGUCUUGUCUACUCCGCGCUAUUCUUCAGCGGUCAGUGGAGCGCGAGAUAGUGAGCAGGACGAUCGGAGAGCCAGUGUUGUCCUUGCUGACGGAGGCGGUUCUGAGGAUUACCGGGGGUGCUGCUGCGUGACAACAGUUUCGGUAGAGUCUGCUUUUCCUGGCUUUACCCCCACUUACAGGCUUUGAUGGUGACUCUUGCCCGGAAGGACCUGGCUCAGGUUAGUAUUGCGUCCCCUAAACCGAUCUAAUCGGUCCAGACAUCCACCUCCCAAUCCUAAAGACCCUGAUGCUGCGCAGGCCCUCAUUUCUCUUUCAGUCAGAAGGUGGCGCGCUCCGGGUUGCCUUCCCCAUUUGUCGCUCGGCGAGCUGGAGAGUGGAAGGGGCCGGCGUGUGAAGAGUCUGGAGUUGGCAUUGAAUGCAGCUUUAGGGAACUUGAGGCCUGUCUUCUGUCUUUAGCAAAGAGAUUGCUUGGGGAUGAGUCACGCGUGGUUUGGCAGCCUGAGCAGGGGGUGGGGUGGGGAGGGAUGAGUCACACGUGGCUCGGCUCCCUGUGCGGUUAGGCCCACGUUCUGAGGACGCUGUGAUGGGGUCUCCUGGAGGGGGUAGGAACCGAGAGAUUCGCUGAAUUGAGAUUUUAAAAGAUUUCUGUAGGCUGCCAAGGACUGGGGAGAGGAGCAAUAGAGUGAAAGUUAAGAGACUUUGAGGAGGCUACGGCUGCAGACUCCUGGAUAAUGGCUGUGAUGUAGCCAGAGCCAGUGUCACCGGCUGCUGCAGGUCCUUGCGUCGCUGAUAAUGAAAGUUAAUGAUGAAGGAGGAAUUUGCAAGGCGGGGGAGAUUUAAUUGGACCGUAAGAGAAAAGUAAGGGACUUAACUAAGCUUGAGGAACUGACAAAGUUCUUUUUUGCUGGCCCCAUAAUGAAAAGAGAAUAUAGGCAAAGCCUUCACUUUUAGAAACUGAUAAUGGCACAGAUUUGAAGAGGUGGCUCAAAUUGGCCUAUAAAAAAACCAAGACAGGUUUUUUAAGAUUUUCUGGGUUGGGCUAGUGGCUGGUUGAUGCUGAUCUCAUGGCUUUGUCUGCGGAAUGGUCCCGGGAGAGGUCUUUUUACUUGAGGGGGCACUGAAGUUUCCAUUAGAUGAUUAUUUUUGUGUGGGGCAGUCUCAAUGUCGUAAGACUCUACUGAAAGACACAAUGACACUCAAUUUAGGGUGACCUACUUGGAAACUUGAUGACUUGGAGGCUUCUGGGCGCGGUCCAAUGUCCCUGUAAACCCCCAAUCUUAAUAGCACAGUCUUGAAAGGGGAUGGGAUUAUGUAAAUUCAGGACCAAUUGACAUGCUUUUCCAACCUUUAGAUUGACAAUUAACAUACCUAUAUACAGCGCUGAAAGGGGACUUGCCCCAAAGUUUUAAGAUAACAAAGGUUACAAAACAAAGGUCAAGCUUUGUUCUACUUUUAGUUACCUAGUCAAUGUUUGGGGUUUGUUUUGUUUUUUACAAAAACAUUUGUUUUAAGUCCCUGACUGCUGCUUCAGAAGAAAAUACGAAGUGUGCUGUCACUGCACAGGGCCCAAGGAGGUCACCAAAGCAGAGAUGGGGAACUUCAGCGCACCUCACCCAUGGGACAGGUUAUAGGUUCGAUAACUUCCCUAACAGAAAAAGAAUUUCCAAGAUGUGUCAGUGGGUGGUAUAAAGGCAGAAUUAAACAGGUACACAUUCAGAAUAGUGUUUGGGCCCUUGAGAGGCACACGGUGGUUAAGAGUAAGGGUUUUUAUGUAGACUUAGGGAUGUUCUCAAAUGGGUAAUCUUGGAUGUAUAUGCCUACCAUCUGUCAGGUUACUCAACUGGCAGGCUGUGUUAGAAUGCAAAUCUCCUGUGUUUGAGGUUGAGAUAGGCUCAUUUUCUGUGGGGGAAAAAAGUGUAAUAUACAGGUGACAAUCACAAGCCCAGGCUUAAUGUGUCUUUAAGAUCCUUAGGAAAAAGGUGUGUGUGUGUGGGGUUGAGUUUCCUGGAAAGGAAAAAGGCUCGAGCAACUUUUGUGUCCUGAAACUGCAGUUUUUCUUAAUAGUUUUGUUUGUUUUUGAGAAAGAGGCUAGCUGUGUGGUUCAGGCUGGCCUUGAUCUCAUUAUGUUUCCCAGGCUGGCCUCAAACUCCAGGCGAUCCUCCUGCCUCAGUCUCCCAAGUGCUGGGAUUACAGGCGUGUGCCAUCACACCUGGCUUUGACAGUUUCAACAUUACAAUUGUCACCGGCUCCUUUUUACCUUCUACCCCCCUCAAUCUGGGAGUUGAACCCAGGGCCUUCACACUAAGCUAUAUCCCCAGACCAUUUCUUUGUUUGAGAGGAGUCUCCCUCUAUUACCAAGGCUGGAGUUGAAUUUUGAAUCCUCCUACCGCAUUCUCUCAGAAUGCUGAUAUUGCAAGCUGGCACCUCCAUACCUGGUUUAUAUUGGCAUUUUGUUUGUUUUUUUGGUACUGUUUGCAAGGUAGGCAGCGGCACACUGAGCUAAGUCCCCGGCCCUAUAUUAGCAUUUUUAUUGUUUUGGGAGACCUAUACAAAAGCCAGAUGUUUACCCAAGGGACAAAUACGUUCCUUGGUGGGGACACAUGAGAAUAUAAUAAGAUAGGUUGAAGGACAUAUUUUUGGAACAUCUAGUAGUAUUCGGA
ensembl:lincRNA